ensembl:snRNA U5 U5 spliceosomal RNA
AUACUCUGGUUUCUCUUCAGAUCAUAUAAAUCUUUCAUCUUUUACUAAAGAUUUCCAUAGAGAGGAGCAAUUCUGAGUCUUAAUCCAAUUUUUUGAGGCCUUGCAUCUGCAGGACA